rnacentral:lncRNA from 1 species
UCGAUACCAAACCAAUACACAUAAUACUCCUCGCUCCGCUCCCGUGCAUGCUGCUCUGUGGUUGCCCGAGCCGUGUACGUAAUAUGUCGGCAGUUACGGCAGUCCACCUCGGAGACACCAGACGCAACUCAAGAAUCGUAAUGAUGAUAGGCAUCGUCGACCGAGCAGCUUCCGUCGCGUGAUCGCGGACGCGAUGCGGUUAAUUUUUUUAUGUGCGAAUUUUUUCGAAAAAUAAGGUAAACUUCUAACGAAACUAUAUCAUCAUCCGAUUUACAUUGGAUUUCGAAUUGCAAGACUGACGUUUUUAUUCAACUAAAAUUUCUAUACUCAAAUCAUGGAAGCUUUUUUCCCCCCCUUUGCGAUAAUGUUACCAGAGAUUUCAGGCAAUUCCAAACAAAUCCGCGACGUAUUCUUUGAGAGCCAACAAUCUGCAAUAUUAGAUCGAAAUUCUAUAAACGUCGACGUCGAGGAAUGGAAGAAUAAAGGAUUGGACCCGGUAGCAGACGAUGACACGCCGCGGAAUGUCAGUUCACGUCAAGGUGGCGGUACGAAGAUACGGCCUGCUGGACGGGCAGGAUGGAGCUUUGCAUACGUCCGGUCAGUUAGUCAUAUCGCUCAGGUGGCAUUGAAUCCGCUGAAUCGCUAAUGAGACUACCAAUCGACAGACGGCAGCGGGAGGGGAAAAAAAAAGGCGGUCAACCAGCCUGGCCGGUUUCCAGGCUGCUGCUGUUGCUGCUACUACUACUCUGCCGUUUUAUCUGGGAUUCGCUCUCUUCAACUUCUUCGACAUCCAGUAACUGCCAAUUACAGACCACGUGACCGUACAUCAUCGAAAGUUCCGCGUGGCGACACUAGAUUUUCCCACGUGUACUGAUAUCCUGUGGCGGGGCUAAUGUUCAUAAGCCACUCGCGCGAUAUAAGUAUCAUGUGUGUGUGUGCGUGUGCAUAAAACUCUUUACGUACGCUGUGUCUCAUUAUUCUGAUAUAUUAUUCUGUACACUUUCCUUGGCGAGGAGCACGCGAACGCGGUGUCACGCAAACGCUUAAAGAAGGACUUACGCGUCGCGUCGCUAGAUGAUAUUUCCCGAUUACAUUUCCUCCCCUCCCCCCUCCACCUCCCUCUCUCGACCGCCAUUUCAGCGGCGACACAUUUACCGUAAGUCGGCGGCCUGAGCAGGCCGUAUCGAAAAUACGAUGUCACCUUUUGAAUUAAACGGGUGUGUGUCUAGCAGCUGUCGCUACACGUAGCGGCUAUCCCGAUCGGAUAAGACGUUUAAUUUCGGACGCGCGUAUAUCUUUUUUUUCGCUUUCUCUCUCUCUCUCUCUCUCUCUCUUCCUCGCUGUCCUCGGGAACACCUUACCGAACAUCAUUAGUGCAGUUAGCACUACAUUAACAUCGACCAUCAAUUAUCGGGCACGCGUAUCAGAUACGGCGCGGCAAGCGCUGCAACGUUUGUUACGUGUAUUUUAAAAAUCAGUGUUAAUUUGCACGAAUUAAUCUGCCAAACUGUUCUUUGUACUUAUUUACAAUAAAUGUUCAUAAGUUUUCGGUAUAUAUUAACGAUCUGAGAAUUAAAAUAGUUUUCGUAAUGCGAAGCCAUAUUGGUUCGCAAGUAGUCACGCCUAUGAUCUUCCCGGCGAGACGCCACGACGAAUCAAACUUAAAUCCUCGAAAGUAACAACCCCGUCAACGGAGGGUAGAUGCUGUCCGCGGCAACGGAGAUGCGAUCAAUAUUAUACUCCUCUCUCGCUCCCUCUCUCCCGCCCUCCGUCCCUCUCUCUUCUUCCACCCUUCAUGCGCCCACUGUUCCGCUCCUCGAUCUUUCUCUCUUUCCCUCUCCUGCCACUCUUCCCACCCUUCCCUGGUCUGUUCCCGUCUUCCUCGCACAUCCACCCCGUUCCUCCCUUCGCGGAUUCUCCCCAUCGCCUUUCUCUCUCUCUCUCUCACUCUCUCGAACUCCGCGGCUCUUUCAUCCCCAGUUACUCUCACUUCCAUCGCACAGACUCUUCCUCUUCCUCUCCCCUCCCUCGUUCGCCGUUCGUCCCUAUUUACCUUUCUCUCUCUGUCGAUGCUCCCGUUUUCCAUCCCUCUCGCUCUCCUCUUUCCCUUUGCGUUUCCAUCUGACUUUUCCCCUCUUACCAGCAUCACGGUUAGCCAUCUCUCCUUUUCUAUCUCUCUCUCUCUCUCUCUUUGUGCCAUAUCAUCCCUGCUCGUCUUUUGCGCCUUGUCCCUCUUCGUGUCUCUCUCUCUCUCUCUCUAGCCACCCUCCUCAUCGCCGCCCCUCCUCGGCCGAGCCAUGACGUCACUAUCGUGGGACGCCAUCUUGCCAUCAGACAACCGAGGUCCUCCGUUAUCGUCCCUCUAUACAGCCGCAUCCCCGCCCGGCUUUUCCGACCCUCUGGCAAAAUCCCCGCAAGGAUCUCCGGCAAGGAUUCUCCUGCCGUUCCUCCCGCGCGCAUUGCUGGCGACGAGCGAAUUCGCCGGCACGCAAAUUAACGAGAUUACUCGGGGUUUUCGACCCUACCCACUUUGACACCCUCCUGCGCGCCUCCCUUCUACCAGAUCGCCGCUUCCUUUGUCAACGUGGAUGUCGUUACGGCACGAGAGACAACGGACCAACGAAAAUUGCGGUGAAUACCCGGUUGAUUUUCGGCAGAAUGGAGUUUAGAUGUAAGAUUACGAAAAAAUAGAAAAAAAAA